CCUACGGGUGGCAGCAGUGAGGAAUAUUGGUCAAUGGGCGUGAUCCUGAACCAGCCAAGUCGCGUGAGGGAAGACGGUUCUAUGGAUCGUAAACCUCUUUUGUCAGAGAAUAAAAUGUGGGACGUGUCCUGUUUUGUAUGUACCUGAUGAAUAAGCAUCGGCUAACUCCGUGCCAGCAGCCGCGGUAAUACGGAGGAUCCGAGCGUUAUCCGGAUUUAUUGGGUUUAAAGGGUGCGUAGGCGGCCUUUUAAGUCAGCGGUAAAAGUCUGUGGCUCAACCACUGAAUUGCGGUUGAAACUGGCGGACUUGAGUAGGUGAGAAGUACGCGGGAUGCGCGGGGUAGCGGGGAAAUGCAUAGAUAGCGCGCAGAACCCCGAUUGCGAAGGCAGCCUGCCAAGGCCAGACUGACGCUGAGGCACGAAAGCGUGGGGAUCGAACAGGAUUAGAUACCCGUGUAGUC
rnacentral:rRNA from 1 species